GAUACUAAACAAUAACUUUAUGACCCCGAGUCAUUAAAAAGAUAUCAGAGACCGUGAUAUCACACUAAACCCAGAAUCAUGUUGAGUCCGCCUACAUUCAUCCUAAUUACUAAUAACUAAUUCAGUAAGAACAAGUUUAAAUCUUUUCCCUCCCAGUUAACAAACU